UUCAGAAAGACCGAGGUCAGUAAAAGAUUGGGAAGAAAGCAGCUUUAUGUCACAUUGCUACAGUUUCCACGAGUUGGUCGAAAAUCUGGGACUGAAAUUGGCAUCGAACUGUUAUGGAAUGUAUUUGCCAGGUGGUGAGAGAUUUGUUCCAGCUGUGAACACGUAUUAAACAAUGUGAGACAUUUUGGCAGUGAAUCAACCUCACACGAGGAGAUUGAAUACGUUCUCCAUCAAUGACGUCAGACUCGUGUUCCACAGCGGCUGCAUCCAUGUCAAGAUUACUUGUAGCAUGUCAGAGUUCGUCUACUAGUAAAUUUGCUGGGUUAAAAUUUAAUAUGAAGUGUUAUGUUUGCUUUGGGUUGUAAUGUUCUCCAUCAUAACGUGUGUCAAAUGAAAAGUCAGAUGUAAGGAGUAUUUUUCACGUAAACGGAUUAAGGCCGCGUUCACAACCAGUUGAUCCGCAGACUAACUAGUUGAAAACCCCACUUUAAAGCAAGCCUGUGUUCAACUGCUCGCCCCUGCUGGGACGGCACGCGUGGGAGGCGGGGAAUCCAUUUUCAAGAGCAAUAUAUUUUAAUAAUAGUCCGAGGAUCAACUGGUUGUGAACACCGUUUAAUUCUAUUCUUAGCGUCAGCCCUGUAUGUCGUUGCUUUGCUACUAUACAUAUGUACGUAUGUAUGUUACCAAGUUGUUGUACACUACACUACCCGCUCAUGGUGCUUUAAUGGUAAUUUGUUGAUGCAUUUGGUUAAGGGGCGGGUACACGUCAGAUCUCAGACACGAGAACAACUUUUUUUUAAAGUUCUUUUUUAAUACGAAUAUUGCCAAUGCAAAAAGUGGCUUGUUCUAUUGAUGUACUAAAUCGGUUUUGAUUAUUAUCAAAUUAUCACCAAGUAGUGUUCAGGAAGAGUACUUUGCUACACGUACAUGUAGUACUAGUAGUGGUUUAUUUCCGUGUAGGUGUGGCAACAUAAACAACAAGCACAUUAUAUAUUGCCCAUUAUGCUGUUAACAAUGCAAAGACACCAUAAAGAAUGGGCCCAGCCAGGGCGUAAUAAACAUGG